GGGGAAUUUUGGACAAUGGGCGCAAGCCUGAUCCAGCCAUGCCGCGUGCAGGAUGAAGGCCCUCGGGUUGUAAACUGCUUUUGUACGGAACGAAAAGCCUCUUUCUAAUAAAGAGGGGUGAUGACGGUACCGUAAGAAUAAGCACCGGCUAACUACGUGCCAGCAGCCGCGGUAAUACGUAGGGUGCGAGCGUUAAUCGGAAUUACUGGGCGUAAAGCGUGCGCAGGCGGUCUUGCAAGACAGUGGUGAAAUCCCCGGGCUCAACCUGGGAACUGCCAUUGUGACUGCAAGGCUGGAGUACGGCAGAGNGGGAUGGAAUUCCGCGUGUAGCAGUGAAAUGCGUAGAUAUGCGGAGGAACACCGAUGGCGAAGGCAGUCCCCUGGGCCUGUACUGACGCUCAUGCACGAAAGCGUGGGGAGCAAACA
rnacentral:rRNA from 1 species